UCAGAUGUGGUGUAGUGGGAACACAGCCUCUUACAAUGGACCAAGAAAAAUGUAGGCUGAGAGGCAGUCCAGGGUUCGAGUCCCUGCAUCUGAG